GGUAAUUAAAUGGUUGGAUGCGGGAAUUAUUUAUCCGAUUUCGGAUAGUGCUUGGGUGAGUCCCACCCAAGUUGUGCCUAAGAAGGCCGGCAUUCAAGUAGUCAAAGAUGAAAGUGUCAAGGAUGAAAGUGGUGAACAAAUUGCCACCCGACCGGUUACCGGGUGGCGGGUGUGUAUUGACUACCGGAAAUUAAAUGCCGCCACUUCUAAGGACCAUUUCCCGCUACCUU
rnacentral:lncRNA from 1 species